CAUGCAAGUCGAGCGGAUCAAUGGGGAGCUUGCUCCCCUGAGAUCAGCGGCGGACGGGUGAGUAACACGUGGGCAACCUGCCUGUAAGACUGGGAUAACUCCGGGAAACCGGGGCUAAUACCGGAUAACAUUUUCCAUUGCAUAGUGGGAAAUUAAAAGAUGGCUUCGGCUAUCACUUACAGAUGGGCCCGCGGCGCAUUAGCUAGUUGGUGAGGUAAGGGCUCACCAAGGCGACGAUGCGUAGCCGACCUGAGAGGGUGAUCGGCCACACUGGGACUGAGACACGGCCCAGACUCCUACGGGAGGCAGCAGUAGGGAAUCUCCGGCAAUGGGCGAAAGCCUGACCGAGCAACGCCGCGUGAGCGAUGAAGGCCUUCGGGUCGUAAAGCUCUGUUGUUAGGGAAGAACAAGUACCGUUCAAAUAGGGCGGUACCUUGACGGUACCUAACCAGAAAGCCACGGCUAACUACGUGCCAGCAGCCGCGGUAAUACGUAGGUGGCAAGCGUUGUCCGGAAUUAUUGGGCGUAAAGCGCGCGCAGGCGGUCUCUUAAGUCUGAUGUGAAAGCCCACGGCUCAACCGUGGAGGGUCAUUGGAAACUGGGGGACUUGAGUACUGG
rnacentral:rRNA from 1 species